AGGACGAACGCUGGCGGUGUGCUUCACACAUGCAAGUCGAACGGGGUAGCAAUACCCAGUGGCGGACGGGUGAGUAAUACGUGGGAAUCUGCCUAUGAGAGGGGGAUAAUUGACCGAAAGGUUAGCUAAUACCGCAUAAGUAGCAAUAUAAAAGGAGUAAUCCGCUUAUAGAUGAGCCCACGCCCGAUUAGCUAGUUGGUAGGGUAAAGGCCUACCAAGGCGACGAUCGGUAGCUGGUCUGAGAGGAUGAUCAGCCACAAUGGAACUGAGACACGGUCCAUACUCCUACGGGAGGCAGCAGUGGGGAAUUUUACACAAU
rnacentral:rRNA from 1 species